rnacentral:rRNA from 1 species
ACAUCCAGAGAAUUUAGCAGAGAUGCUUUAGUGCCUUCGGGAACUCUGAGACAGGUGCUGCAUGGCUGUCGUCAGCUCGUGUUGUGAAAUGUUGGGUUAAGUCCCGCAACGAGCGCAACCCUUAUCCUUUGUUGCCAGCACGUAAUGGUGGGAACUCAAAGGAGACUGCCGGUGAUAAACCGGAGGAAGGUGGGGAUGACGUCAAGUCAUCAUGGCCCUUACGAGUAGGGCUACACACGUGCUACAAUGGCGUAUACAAAGAGAAGCGACCUCGCGAGAGCAAGCGGACCUCAUAAAGUGCGUCGUAGUCCGGAUUGGAGUCUGCAACUCGACUCCAUGAAGUCGGAAUCGCUAGUAAUCGUAAAUCAGAAUGUUACGGUGAAUACGUUCCCGGGCCUUGUACACACCGCCCGUCACACCAUGGGAGUGGGUUGCAAAAGAAGUAGAUAGCUCAACCUUCGGGAGGGCGUUUACCACUUUGUGAUUCAUGACUGGGGUGAAGUCGUAACAAGGUAGGCGUAGUGCU